rnacentral:pre_miRNA from 1 species
UUUUUAGCAUAAGUAUAUCUUAGGCAAUAUUUGGGACAUACUUAUACUAAAC